rnacentral:lncRNA from 13 species
AUGGAGGCUACGGGAGCGCCGCACUGUCCCGGGGGCCACCCCCUCCCGUGGGCCCCGCAGGCAGUGGCUACGGUGGAGGCCUGGCCCUGGCGGAGUAUGACCAGCCCUAUGGCGGCUUCCUGGACAUUCUGCGGGGUGGGACGGAGCGGCUUUUCACCAACCUCAGGGACACCUCGUCCAAGGUCAUACAGUCUGUUGCCAAGUAAGUGUGAGGCCCCAGGGCCCUGGACCUGCUGUGCUCGUUCCAGGCUCAGUCCCCGUUCUCGCUCCCCAUCUGCGGUGGAACAGCUGGCCAUCAGGCUCCACAGGAGCCCCCGAGGCAUGGGACAGCAUCACCCCCUUCUCCCAGGGAGUCGGAAUGGGCCCAGCACCCCGAGCCAGGCAGCUCUCUUUCCUUUGACCCCUGUGGGGCAGGGCCCUGCUGUGGAGACCCCUGGGUCCACCCUCCACUUGCUGUGAUGGCGCCGCUCACACUGGGUGCUCCUGGGCUGCUCCUGGGACUGUUUGCUGCAAAUUGGGUGAAACAGCUGUGGUGAUGCCUAACUGAGGCAGUCCCCUGAGUUAAAGCCCUCGUGACUCAGACUUGGGCCAAGUGGGUGGGUCUGAGCGUGUGGUGGGAGGAAGUCUUCCUCUGGGUGGGCGGGCCAUCGGAGGGCAUGUCUCUGUGGGGGUGGCCCUGGCCCCCGACAUCGGCCCACAGGCCUGGCAGCCUCUGCUCACAGCACACUAGAAGUGUUCCAGAGUGCAGCCCCUCUGUCGUGGAGUCUGUGUGCUGCCUUUUCUGGAGGAGCUGGAUGCCCAGGAGCACACUGGCUGCUCGUCUGUCCCUGCGGAUGCACCAGCUCAAGGGCAUCCGCUGUGUCAGGAACCAACCUUGGAGCUGGGCUGCGUUGGCGCCUGUCACACAGGAGCCACAUGCAGCCGUCAUGGGCACUGCAUUCUUUCCAGCCGGCAACACCUUCUGCCAUGUUCCUUUGUUCUUUCCUUUGUGCUGUGGUGAUCACUGUUUUGUGUCCUCAGCACCAGGUAGACGUGUGCACUUGUGCCGGCAUGUGGCCCAGCAUCUUUGCACGUGUGAUAUUGGGUGCAUGUGUGCCUGUGUGUAAGCAUAUGUCUGUGACCGUGUGAGGACAUGGGCAUUAUGAACAUGCAUGUGUGUGAAUACUUGUGUGUGUGUACAGAUGACAUGGGCAUGUGUGUGAGUGCUGGUGCUUGAGUGCUCAUGUGAGCUGUGAGACUGUAUUGAGUGCACAUGUGCAUUCGUGUGUACAAGCAUGUGCAUGUGAGCAUGUGUGCAUAUGUGAGCUGUGUGCAUGUGUACGAGUGCCUGUGAUCCAUGCACAUGUCGGUGUGUGUAGGAGUGCCUGUGUGUCUGUGAACUGUGAGCUGUGUGCACGUGUCAGCAUGUGUACCAGUGCCUGUGAGCUGUGUGCACGUGUCAGCAUGUGUACCAGUGCCU